GACGAACGCUGGCGGCGUGCCUAAUACAUGCAAGUUGAGCGAUGAAGAUUGGUGCUUGCACCAAUUUGAAGAGCAGCGAACGGGUGAGUAACGCGUGGGGAAUCUGCCUUUGAGCGGGGGACAACAUUUGGAAACGAAUGCUAAUACCGCAUAAUAACUUUAAACAUAAGUUUUAAGUUUGAAAGAUGCAAUUGCAUCACUCAAAGAUGAUCCCGCGUUGUAUUAGCUAGUUGGUGAGGUAAAGGCUCACCAAGGCGAUGAUACAUAGCCGACCUGAGAGGGUGAUCGGCCCCAUUGGGACUGAGACACGGCCCAAACUCCUACGGGAGGCAGCAGUAGGGAAUCUUCGGCAAUGGACGAAAGUCUGACCGAGCAACGCCGCGUGAGUGAAGAAGGUUUUCGGAUCGUAAAACUCUGUUGGUAGAGAAGAACGUUGGUGAGAGUGGAAAGCUCAUCAAGUGACGGUAACUACCCAGAAAGGGACGGCUAACUACGUG
rnacentral:rRNA from 1 species